rnacentral:tRNA from 1 species
GCGCCCGUUGGUUUAGUCGGUAAAAUAUCUCGUUGCCACGAGAUGGCCCGGGGUUCGAUUCCCGGACGGCGCA